GCCCGCUUACGGGAGGCAGCAGUGGGGAAUCUUGCACAAUGGGGGAAACCCUGAUGCAGCCAUGCCGCGUGGAGGAAGACACCCCUAUGGGGCGUAAACUCCUUUUCUGCGCGAAGAAACCCCAGUUGUUCUGGGUGUGACGGUACCGCAGGAAUAAGGACCGGCUAACUCCGUGCCAGCAGCCGCGGUAAUACGGAGGGUCCAAGCGUUGUCCGGAAUCACUGGGCGUAAAGGGUGUGCAGGUGGGGCAGCAAGUCAGAGGUGAAAGCCCGCGGCUUAACCGCGGACGUGCCUUUGAAACUGCUGCUCUUGAGUCCCGGAGAGGUUGCCGGAAUUCGUGGUGUAGCGGUGAAAUGCGUAGAUAUCACGAGGAACACCAGAGGCGAAAGCGGGCAACUGGACGGGUACUGACACUGAGGCACGAAAGCGUGGGGAGCAAACAGGAUUAGAUACCCUGGUAGUCCGCGCCGUAAACGAUGAAUGCUCGCCGUUGCCUCGUUAGGGGGCAGUGGCUAAGCUAACGCGUUAAGCAUCCGCCUGGGAAUACACAACCCAU
rnacentral:rRNA from 1 species